rnacentral:rRNA from 1 species
GACCGAGGUCCCGAGCGUUAGGCGGAAUCACUGGGCUUAAAGCGUGUGUAGGCGGAUUGGUAAGUACCUUGUGAAAUCCCACGGCUUAACCGUGGAACUGCUUGGUAUACUGCUUAUCUUGGGCCACUUAGGGGUUACCGGAACAAACGGUGGAGCGGUGAAAUGCGUAGAUAUCGUUUGGAACGCCAAUGGGGAAAACAGGUAACUGGGAGUGGGCCGACGCUGAGACACGAAAGCCAGGGGAGCGAACGGG